AAACAAGUCCCAGGUGUUUGAUGAAAUAGAGAAAGCCAACCUCAAACUGAGGAUCGGGAAUGCGGAUUGAUGUCUAUAUGCAGAUGAGGGCAGGCACCCGGUAAGGCAAGGCCUGUGAUUGGGCAGUGAAAAAGAAAGGCGGGGACAGAGUUUUUGUAAGGCGGGAGAAAUAACCACCAAGAUGGAGGCCAAGAAAGACGACUCAGAUCCGUGUGGCCUUAAAGGGUGACAGCAUGUCUGUCGGAACCUACUUCUUCAGGAUCCCAGCUUAUACAGAAGAUGAGCUGAAGCAAUUAGCCUCGUGGGAGUGAGCAACUACUAGACUCUUGGCCUUCUUACUCACAGCUGCCCAUUGUUGGGUUAGUUAGACUACAGACUUUUUCUACACCAGGAAUCCUGUCAGUGAUAAGACAGGUGAGGAAGAGCUAGUGCUUCCUGUUAGUUCAACCAGGGACAAAUAUCACGGCAGAUGGACAGUCACCUGAGGAUGAUGACAUCUGUGGGGGAUGACGCUCUAAUCAUAUAAGUCUAAUGUAAGACUCAUCCUAAAGUAUUAAGGGUUGCAUCUUUUUGCUCCUGGGAUGGAUAAAGAUGGAUCCUGAGAGGCUAAAGAUGUUUGCCAGCAAGUGUGACGACCUGAGUUUGAGUCCCAGACACCAGGGAGACGAAGGGGAUCAUCAACUUCCAGGAGCUGUUUUCUGACUUUUAUAGAUAACCCACCCAGCAGACAUAUACAAUGAAUAAAUACCUGGAAAGCUGUGUGAAAAUGAAGAUAAAAAAAUAAAUACAGAUUUGUGAGUAAA